rnacentral:rRNA from 1 species
UACGGGGGGAGCAAGCGUUGUUCGGAUUUACUGGGCGUAAAGGGCGCGUAGGCGGCCAGCACAAGUCAGUUGUGAAAUCUCCGAGCUUAACUCGGAAAGGUCAACUGAUACUGUGCGGCUAGAGUGCAGAAGGGGCGACUGGAAUUCUUGGUGUAGCGGUGAAAUGCGUAGAUAUCAAGAGGAACACCUGCGGCGAAGGCGGGUUGCUGGGCUGACACUGACGCUGAGGCGCGAAAGCUAGGGGAGCGAACGGG